GACGAACGCUGGCGGCGUGCUUAACACAUGCAAGUCGAACGCUGAAGCUCAGCUUUUGUUGGGUGGAUGAGUGGCGAACGGGUGAGUAACACGUGAGUAACCUGCCCCCUUCUUUGGGAUAACGCCCGGAAACGGGUGCUAAUACUGGAUAUUCACUGGUCUUCGCAUGGGGGUUGGUGGAAAGGGUUUUUCUGGUGGGGGAUGGGCUCGCGGCCUAUCAGCUUGUUGGUGGGGUGAUGGCCUACCAAGGCUUUGACGGGUAGCCGGCCUGAGAGGGUGACCGGUCACAUUGGGACUGAGAUACGGCCCAGACUCCUACGGGAGGCAGCAGUGGGGAAUAUUGCACAAUGGGCGCAAGCCUGAUGCAGCGACGCCGCGUGAGGGAUGGAGGCCUUCGGGUUGUGAACCUCUUUCGCUCAUGGUCAAGCCGCAACAAUGGUUGUGGUGAGGGUAGUGGGUAAAGAGGCGCCGGCUAACUACGUGCCAGCAGCCGCGGUAAUACGUAGGGCGCGAGCGUUGUCCGAAAUUAUUGGGCGUAAAGGGCUUGUAGGCGGUUGGUCGCGUCUGCCGUGAAAUCCUCUGGCUUAACUGGGGGCGUGCGGUGGGUACGGGCUGACUUGAGUGCGGUAGGGGAGACUGGAACUCCUGGUGUAGCGGUGGAAUGCGCAGAUAUCAGGAAGAACACCGGUGGCGAAGGCGGGUCUCUGGGCCGUUACUGACGCUGAGGAGCGAAAGCGUGGGGAGCGAACAGG
rnacentral:rRNA from 1 species